GACGAACGCUGGCGGCGUGCCUAAUACAUGCAAGUAGAACGCACAGUUUAUACCGUAGCUUGCUACACCAUAAACUGUGAGUUGCGAACGGGUGAGUAACGCGUAGGUAACCUGCCUGGUAGCGGGGGAUAACUAUUGGAAACGAUAGCUAAUACCGCAUAAUAUUAAUUAUUGCAUGAUAAUUGAUGGAAAGAUGCAAUUGCAUCACUACCAGAUGGACCUGCGUUGUAUUAGCUAGUAGGUGAGGUAACGGCUCACCUAGGCGACGAUACAUAGCCGACCUGAGAGGGUGAUCGGCCACACUGGGACUGAGACACGGCCCAGACUCCUACGGGAGGCAGCAGUAGGGAAUCUUCGGCAAUGGACGAAAGUCUGACCGAGCAACGCCGCGUGAGUGAAGAAGGUUUUCGGAUCGUAAAGCUCUGUUGUAAGAGAAGAACGGGUGUGAGAGUGGAAAGUUCACACUGUGACGGUAUCUUACCAGAAAGGGACGGCUAACUACGUG
rnacentral:rRNA from 1 species